CCGCGAGUUAAGGACGAUAUAAAGGAUCACACUUUACGAGUACUUAAUUGUCACCUGUUUAUUGCUCUUGACGGAUUAUCAAGAGGAAACGAGCCGAUAAUACUGGUUCGCGAACAAUUAGUACUAAAUACGUAGCUAUAUAAAAUACAACGGUGCUUCGUGGAGUACAGUGCAGUCGACAAGUGCAACAGUUACGUACGGUUAAUCGAUCGAUUAUUAUGGAUUACAAAGUUGUGUUUCUCGUGGCUUUGAUGCUGACGACCACAAUGUGUGUGCCCCGGGCUCCACCAUGUCCCUGCCCAAAAAUAUACCUCCCUGUUUGUGCCAAAGUGGCCAAUAAAGAGGUCACAUUCAAUAGCAUGUGCGAAUACCAGUGCCAACAUGACUUCGUGAAGCAUAACGGAGGAUCUAUGGAACUGCUCUACACGGGUUCACGGUGCCAUUAGACUGACUGCUUACAACCUCCUUAUGUAGUUUACCUCCUUAUUGUUUUCUUUUUAAAUAUAUUUUUUUUAAGUGAUAAGUUUUUUUUCUAUUAUCUUACCUACUAAUUCAAUAGAAUGAUAGAUACACAAGUAGCCGAAGCCACUUGUGACUCUAUCCUCGAGAGUUAAAUUCUUACAACUAUUAGCCAGACAGCCUUACCUACCUAUACGGUGGUACGAACAACCAAGACUAGCCUGUCGUCACGACACACUCGUUUUGCCUGCCGGUUUUUCAAGUCCGUCUAUGGUCUCCUAUUGAGAAGAGGUAACGAAGGUUUGCACAACACCCAACCUACAAGGCUAUUUAUGGGAAAGUUAGAAGCACAGUCUGGAAAAUGCACCAGGGCUGUAAACUGCACUCAUUACUGCAGACCACAGAGUGCAGGUCACUCCUUGCACACUCUUCAUUUUCGUCAUCUUAUCGGCUUUGCUGACUUCAUCGGUGCAAGCCAAAUGGCCUGGUUGGACCGAACUGGAUUGUUUCUGCACGACCCAGUAUGACCCUGUGUGCGCUUCCGACAUGAGGAGAUACUCAAACUAUUGCUACUUUAUGUGUAGAGUCGAAUACCUGCAACUGAAGGGCCUACCUUCGAUUGACUUAGUACCGUGUUUUCAACUGCCACCUGUCCAGGACGUCGUCUAGAGCCGAGCAUGUUUUUAUCAAAUAUGUAACAUGAUGAAUUAUAUAAACGGAAUUAAAAUUA